AGGGGCGUUGCCAAGCGGUAAGGCAGCAGGUUUUGAUCCUGCCAUGCGUUGGUUCGAAUCCAGCCGCCCCUGCCA
rnacentral:tRNA from 1 species